ACCGCUGGCUAGUAGUAUUUACCCUCUAAAUUUUUUCUUUCUCGCGCCUCUUUUUAUUUUCUUCUAAUUUUUUCAUUUUUCUCCACGCAGUUUCACAUCCUUUCUCUCCACUACUGAGCUUCACAUUAUUUUCUUCUCCAUUUCUCAACUUUCCUAGUCUUUCUUCCGCCAAUCCUUAUGCACGCUAAUCGGCAAUGUCCGCACCCUGCCGCUGCCAGCGAUGUCUGCGCAAUCGUCGGUCACGCCCUCGCCGCCACGGCCAAAGGCCGAAUUAGCUGGAGUAGCGCGAUUCUCACAAAUUCGUUUGGCCGGUAAAAGCGGAGGCACCGCAUGAAGGCCAGGAAGUCCCGCGUUGGAUUGAUGAAGAAGAGGACGUCGAAGAUUCAAAGAACGGCACCGCCGCUGCAGAAGAAAGCGCUCUCUCUCGGACGAUUAAUCCCCAGUUGCUGGAAGGUAUCGUUCUCGAAGCUUGCAGAAGAAGCCGGUGAUUAGAUCUCUGCCUUGGAGAUGCAAGUGCGAGGAGUGCGAGCCAUGGCGAGUCUCACCGACCUUUAGACCGGCGGUCCCCCUCCCCCGCUCCUUUCGUCGGUGUUUAAUGCUACAAUCUGGUGAAGAAGCACACAUUAAUUAGGAGAUUGAGAAAGAAAACUGGACAGAGGUUUGAUCGUCUCCAUUCAUGAUCCGCAUAAUAGUCCAAAAUUGUGACCUUCAGACCGGCAGUGGAUGGGAAUUCUUUGAGUGAAUGAGGGAUAUGAGAGUCAGGGGAGAGAGGAGAGUUGUGAAGCACGUGAAAGCAGUGGAUCUGAAAAGGAAGAUGCAAGUGAUAAUGAGGAAAAGAAUGAAAAAGCAAUGAAAAAUGAAGUUGAACUUGUUAAGAGCUUGAAUAAGCAAAGACGAUGCUCCAUAACAUUAGGUAUUAUGAUGUGUUAGUCUACACGUGUUGUGUUGCUUUACAUCCAUAAAAACAUUUCUCUCGAAAAGUGAAGUCCAAUGGCAAAAAGGUGUGAUGAAAUUCUGAGGAGGUUAAAGGGGGACAUAAGUAUUUGUACCUCCUUAUGUGUACCAAUUUUAUUUAUAUUUGCUAUCUUAUCUUAUACUUAGAAUUUAAUACCAUUAAGAUCAAUGUGCGGUGCUGGAAACUUAAUACAGUAUUAUCAUAAAUGGAUAUACAAGGAAAUUUUGGGCUCUAAAACCAUUAUGAAAUCUGGUUGAAAUCCCUCUUCAGCCUUGAACCCACAAUUUAUCUCAUCUUUUCUUCUAAUUUUUUCUCUAAACCAAUCUUAUAUCUCUCGCAUGUAUGUGUAUAUAUUGAAAUGUCUUUUCUUUUGUUCAUCUUUCACACAAAAAGAAUAUUAUAUAUAAUAACUAUUCUUCUGUGUACUGCUUUUGUUUUUGUUAUAGUUCUGCAUCAUCAAUUCUUAUAUAAAGUGCAUGACUAGCUUUUACUAUUUUUUUGGUUAUGGUACAUGCAUUGAAUAUUUUCAUUGGAAGUUGAAACCUAUUUGACAGCACACCUUGUUCUAUGC